UAAGGAAUAUUGGGCAAUGGAGGCAACUCUGACCCAGCCAUGCCGCGUGGAGGAUGAAGGUCCUCUGGAUUGUAAACUUCUUUUAUUUGGGAAGAAAUGCCGAUUUUCUAAUUGGUUUGACGGUACCAGAUGAAUAAGCACCGGCUAACUCCGUGCCAGCAGCCGCGGUAAUACGGAGGGUGCAAGCGUUAUCCGGAUUCACUGGGUUUAAAGGGUGCGUAGGCGGGCAUAUAAGUCAGUGGUGAAAUCCCCGAGCUUAACUUGGGAACUGCCGUUGAUACUAUGUGUCUUGAAUAUCGCGGAGGUAAGCGGAAUAUGUCAUGUAGCGGUGAAAUGCAUAGAUAUGACAUAGAACACCGAUUGCGAAGGCAGCUUACUACACGAUCAUUGACGCUGAGGCACGAAAGCGUGGGGAGCAAACA
rnacentral:rRNA from 1 species